rnacentral:rRNA from 1 species
GUAGGUGGCAAGCGUUGUCCGGAAUUAUUGGGCGUAAAGCGCGCGCAGGCGGUUCGUUUAAGUCUGAUGUGAAAGCCCACGGGCUCAACCGUGGAGGGUCAUUGGAAACUGGAGAACUUGAGUACAGAAGAGGAAAGCGGAAUUCCACGUGUAGCGGUGAAAUGCGUAGAGAUGUGGAGGAACACCAGUGGCGAAGGCGGCCUUCUGGUCUGUAACUGACGCUGAGGCGCGAAAGCGUGGGGAGCAAACAGGAUUAGAUACCCUGGUAGUCCACGCCGUAAACGAUGAGUGCUAAGUGUUAGGGGGUUUCCGCCCCCUUAGUGCUGCAGCUAACGCAUUAAGCACUCCGCCUGGGGAGUACGGCCGCAAGGCUG